CUGGCCCGGGUGCUAAAGCCCUCAUUGCCUGGGGCUGGCAGGGCCCGCCGGCCGGCCACUCCGAGUGCAGGGCCUGCCAAGCCCACACCCACCCGGAACUUGCGCCGGCCCGCAAGCACCACAGGCAGCCCUGGUUCCCACCUGCACCUCUCCCUCCACACCUCCCCAUGAGCUGAGGGAGCCAGCUCUGGCCUGGGCCAGCCCAGGAAGGGGCUCCCACAGUGCAGUGGCAGGCUGAAGGGCUCCUCAAGUGCUGCCAAAGUGGGAGCCCGGGCAGAGGAAGUGCUGAGAGUAAGUAAGACAUUGAAGAAGUAAUAGUUGUUAUCUUCAAAUCUUACCCUAUGGAACUAGGAUGCACUGAAAGAGGAACAAAGCAGACACACAUCGCCUUGGCGUGUUAAUGAGGUGUCAAUACAGCUCUUUGCCAAGAAUAACUCCUGACUUAAGAUGAUGCUUGAAAUCUUCCUGUGAGUCACUAUUCUGGGUACCUUGAAGACAGUUGUUAAAAACCAAAUAUGUUCUUACAAAUUGGUGAUAUAUUAAUUCAUUGUCAUACGUUAAUGCAUGUUUUGUAUAAAUUUAUGGGAUACAAAUGCAAUUUUGUACAUGCAUAGAUUGUGUAGUGGUCAACUCAAAGGUUUGUAUAGCAUCCAUCACCUGAAUAACAUAUAUUUACUCAUUAAGUAAUUUCUCAUUUUCUACCCUCCUUUUCACACCCCCAUAUGCUAAUACCUCAAAAAAAGAAUUAAGGACUUGAAUUUGGUAAGUUGGAUUGAGAAAAAUAAAAAUAGUGUGUCAUUUCAAAGUGAAGGUUCAUUUGGAGUGUCUAGAGAAUAGAAUUUAUUGAAAGCAAGAAAGAU
rnacentral:lncRNA from 1 species